rnacentral:rRNA from 1 species
CUACGGGUGGCUGCAGUAGGGAAUUUUGCGCAAUGGGCGAAAGCCUGACGCAGCAACACCGCGUGUGGGAUGACGCUUUUCGGAGUGUAAACCACUGUCAGAGGGGACGAAACCUGACGGUACCCUCAAAGGAAGCAUCGGCUAACUACGUGCCAGCAGCCGCGGUAAGACGUAGGAUGCAAGCGUUGUCCGGAAUUAUUGGGCGUAAAGCGUUCGUAGGCGGCCUGUAAAGUCUGAUGUUAAAGCCCGGGGCUCAACCCCGGUUCAGCAUUGGAUACUUGCAAGCUAGAGUGCAGGAGAGGCAAGGGGAAUUCCUAGUGUAGCGGUGAAAUGCGUAGAUAUUAGGAGGAACACCGGUGGCGAAAGCGCCUUGCUGGACUGUAACUGACGCUGAGGGACGAAAGCCAGGGGAGCAAAUGGGAUUAGAUACCCUUGUAGUC